rnacentral:sRNA from 1 species
GGGCGUCAUCGGAGGGAAGCCCAACAGCGCCCACUACUUCAUCGGCUACGUUGGUGAGGAGCUCAUCUACCUGGACCCCCACACCACGCAGCCAGCCGUGGAGCCCACUGACGGCUGCUUCAUCCCGGACGAGAGCUUCCACUGCCAGCACCCGCCGUGCCGCAUGAGCAUCGCGGAGCUUGACCCGUCCAUUGCUGUGGUACGUGGCGGCCACCUGAGCACACAGGCAUUUGGUGCUGAAUGCUGUUUGGGAAUGACGAGGAAAACUUUCGGAUUUUUGCGUUUUUUUUUUCAGCAUGUUGGGAUAAGUACUGUGUUCACGUGGUUGGGAAUCUGAAGGGUAUAAGAGCCGGAACUGUGUCCUUGCACCCUCA